rnacentral:lncRNA from 1 species
UGUAUUGUGUUGGGUUAUUGUUCUAGAUUGGACUGUUAAAUGCUAUGUUUGAGGCUGGGUUGUCAUUUUUAUAACUGUCUUGGUGUUUUAUCGCCAUUAUUUAUUACUUUUGAUAUACAGAAUGAGCUGCAUGCAUUUAUAGAGCAAUAAGAGGAUGUAUUUAAUGUGCCUUGUUUUUAACUGAAUAAGAACUGAAAGCAUGAAUCAAUAAAGCUGAUUAAAAUGGUCCAUUUACUGGCAUGUUGAUGUACCUUGAAGUCAGAGAAAUAACUUUGAUGACUUGUAGUUUAAAAAAAAGUUUGGAAAUAUUUUCACAAACUGUAUUUUUAACUGCAUUCACACAUUAAUACUUUUUGCUUGCAAUUUUGUAAUUUUAUCUCAAAAGUAAA